rnacentral:tRNA from 1 species
UGGGUUGUGGCUCAGUAGUAGAGCAUUUGUUUUGCAUACAGAAGGUCACUAAUUCAAUUCCUGGCACUGCCACUCAA